CUAACAGCCUACUCAGAGGGCUGACAGCCAGGCCACCACAACACUCUCAUCCAACAAUGUUGUUCACCUCAGCUACCCAUCUUACUUUACAUUUCAGUGCUGUCGAGUCAUCAUGGAGAGCAAACUCAAUGAAAGUUGUGGUUAGUUUCUUAAUUGUUAGGAACGACCCAUAUGGACUGUCCUUGGCUCACUCACAGGCCUGUGGUGAGGAAACGGCAUGAAGACACAUCAUGAGGAGGCAAAGAAAUUCCGUGACGACAGUGUGGAAAUCCAUCCGCUCCUCCUCCUCCUUUAUUCCUCCUCCACAUUCUUUUCAGAAAUCAUUUCCCUGCUCAACUGCAGUCAUGAUGACACCAGCUACAUCCCAAACCACCUACUACCUUACUAAAUUAUGUCAAAAUAAUAAGAAAGACUGGGCUGGUAUUUUUAAAUUUUCUUACAUGGAAAUUAUUCCAAUUCCUUUCCAGAAGGAAAACAUUUUGUGAUUAACUGGUAAUAGUAUUUAUUUAUUGAUUUGUUUGUUUGUUUUCUGCUGUAAAUAAACUCUUAACACAUCGGAAAACAAUGUUUUUACAUAGGUCAUUAUAUGUGUAUGUUUACUACUUACCCAUCCCUGUUUAUCUCUGCCACAACCUUCAUUUGCUCAUCCACUCAUUGCAACAUUCAGUUUUGUUUACUGAACAUAACAGUGUUUCAAUAAUGUGACAAUACCUGUAAUUCAUUUCAAAUAUUCAGAAAUGUAAUUUCAGGCAAACCUUUUUUUGAGAGCAUACGAAUUUCAAGCUUAUGUAUGUAACUUCUACUGAAGUGAUAUAAGUGAAAUACUUCAUCUGGAGGAGUGUCAUUUGACACUCUCAAUUAACUUCAUCUGAGUCAGAAUCACAUGCAACACAAUUGUAGCAGAGAUAAAUAGGUAUUAACCCGGAGGCAGCACUAUACUGGAUACUGCAGAUUGCUUGGAUUUUAUGCUUUGUCACUGUGCUAAUCAAAAUUCAAUGUUG